rnacentral:rRNA from 1 species
CAACACUCAGUCAGUAGAUC